rnacentral:rRNA from 1 species
UCUUUAUUUUUAUUUUAAUAAUAAAAUAAAAGAAUAUUAAUUUUUAUUAUUUUUAAAAAAUUUUAUUGGGGUGAUAGUGAAAUUUUAAAAACUUUUAUUUUAUUAUAUUAUUUAUUUAUAUUUUAAUGAUCCAUUUUUAUGAUUAUAAAAUUAAGU